CCAGGUUGUUUUUGCUUACGUCAGCUAGAGUCCUAUCCAUUUAUUUUAUUAUCCAUGGUUCCACUAAUGAUUACAUUUUACCGCAAAUUACAAGAGACUCGCUGUUGGCUUGUCCUUGAGUAUACUAGCGCUUUUCCCAACAUGAAACUGAAAGGCUUCAGUGUUUUAUAUGGCAAAGAAUGGAUAUAAAAAGUUCUAUUUGCUUUAUUGACAGAUUGUUUGGAGCCAUCAUCACAUUUUGCAACACAAGCUCUUGCUAUUUAUUAAAAUUACAUGCAUUUGUUAAAAUACACACCCUCUGAACUUUAUCGAAAUGAUAUCGGCAUCUUGAUCGGCAGCUAAAUUGGUAAAACAAACUUAUCCCACCACCCUUAUGUAAAAUUUUUGUUAUCUCCCAAAAUCUGUGAGACACGUAUUGUAAACACCCGGGGUCUUUCCGAGUCCAGCGAACAGCGCAGUAGAAAGAACCUGGG